rnacentral:lncRNA from 1 species
AAAAAACAAUGGUUACAACUUAUUUUAGGAUGACUGUCGUCACAAUUAUUUUGAUCCGUCUAUCCCGAACAUAACCCUUGUUAUUCAUGUUCCACCAUGUCGACAUUUUUCUCACUAAGACGAAAUAACAUCGGCAUUGCGGAUUUGUGAUUCAACUUGCAUCUCGCCAAUCAAGUCUUCGAGAGAAAUUACAUUUUUCUUGUGAGAAAUAUACUCUUUGAAACCCAACCAACUUGGAGGGAGUUUUGCAAUGAGGAAGUUGAUCAUGAACAUUUCAC